rnacentral:lncRNA from 1 species
AAGACCACGGCACGCUCCUGGCCUCUCUGCCCUUGAGAAUUCAGCUGGAAGGAAGAGCUGCCAACGCUCUACAGGACAGGUAAGAUCGCCCCAACCCACACCCACCAGGGUCCACAGCAAGCAGGAAGGUGACACGAUUGGCCAGGACGGCAGUGACCGCUCCAUCAGGACGAUGGCAGAGGGACAUACGUGACUCAGACAGCGAUGGGACCAGACCACGGAUCACUCCUGGCCUCUCUCCCCUUGAGAACUCAGCUGGCAGGAAGAACUGCCAACGCUCUACAGGACAGAUAAGACAGCCCCAACCCAUUCCCCACCAUGGUCUCACACCAUACCAGAAGACGACACGGUUGGGUUAUGAUGGGCAUCUCCUGGCUGCCAGGGAGACCCCAGAGCAGAGCAAGCCACUGAAGGAGAAGAAAGCACACAAGGACCCCAUCUCUACCCUGCCAUGGUCCUACAAGCACACCAACGGGCUCCGCGCCUUUGGACAUUGAGAGCUUGGCACGCCUCUCCACCACCUCACCCCACCCCACGUCUCUCUCAAACGUUGCUUAAAUAAAGGUUCUGAUUCACAACCUCA